rnacentral:rRNA from 1 species
CUCAAGAUUAAGCCAUGCAUGUAUAAGUACACGCCUUAACAAGGUGAAACCGCGAACGGCUCAUUACAACAGCUAUAAUCUACUCGGUCUUGACCGGUUACUCGGAUAACUGUGGUAAUUCUAGAGCUAAUACGUGCACCGAGGCUGUCCCUUGCGGGGCAGUGCAUUUGUUGGAGCAAAACCAGGCGACUUCGGUCGUUUUUGCUGACUCAGAACAACUUAGCUGAUCGCAUGGGCUUGUCCCGGCGACGUACCGUCCGAGUGUCUGCCUUAUCAACUUUCGAUGGUAGUGUAUGUGACUACCAUGGUUGUGACGGGUAACGGAGGAUAAGGGUUCGACUCCGGAGAAGGGGCCUGAGAAAUGGCCACUACGUCUAAGGAUGGCAGCAGGCGCGCAAAUUACCCACUCUCGGUUCGAGGAGGUAGUGACGAAAAAUAACAAGGCUGUUCUCUACGAGGCCAGCCAUUGGAAUGGGUACAACACAAACCCUUUAACGAGUAUCAAUGAGAGGGCAAGUCUGGUGCCAGCAGCCGCGGUAAUUCCAGCUCUCAAAAUGCAUAGAACCAUUGCUGCGGUUAAAAAGCUCGUAGUUGGAUCUGUGCCGGCGACGUGGUCCACCCUAACGGGCGGUACUGCGCUCGUCGGCUUUGGGCCGGUCUUCGUGCGGUGGCCUUCACUGGUCGCCGUGCGUGGCUGGCUGGUUUACUUUGAGCAAAUCAGAGUGCUCAGCACAGGCGUUUCGCCGGAAUGUUCGUGCAUGGAAUAAUAGAAAAGGAUUUCGGUCCCCUUUUAUUGGUUUUGUGGACUGAGAUAAUGGUUAACAGAGACGAACGGGGGCAUUCGUAUUGCUGCGUGAGAGGUGAAAUUCUUGGACCGCAGCAGGACGGACUACAGCGAAAGCAUUUGCCAAGCGCGUCUUCAUUAAUCAAGAACGAAAGUCAGAGGUUCGAAGGCGAUCAGAUACCGCCCUAGUUCUGACCGUAAACGAUGCCAACUAGCGAUCCGCCGGUGGCUACAAGGCCCUGGUGGGGAGCUUCCCGGAAACGAAAGUCUUCCGGUUCCGGGGGAAGUAUGGUUGCAAAGCUGAAACUUAAAGGAAUUGACGGAAGGGCACCACCAGGAGUGGAGCCUGCGGCUUAAUUUGACUCAACACGGGAAAACUCACCCGGCCCGGACACCGUGAGGAUUGACAGAUUGAUAGCUUUUUCAUGAUUCGGUGGUUGGUGGUGCAUGGCCGUUCUUAGUUCGUGGAUCGAUUUGUCUGGUUUAUUCCGAUAACGAGCGAGACUCCAGCCUACUAACUAGUGCGGGCAUUGCCUCUGUGCUCGUCACUUCUUAGAGGGAUUGGCUGCGUCUAGCGGCACGAAACGGAGCAAUAACAGGUCUGUGAUGCCCUUAGAUGUCCGGGGCUGCACGCGCGCUACACUGGCAAAGGCAGCGUGCUUGUCCGCCUCCGAAAGGAGCCGGUAAACCCUUGAAAAUUUGCCGUGAUUGGGAUUGGAAAUUGCAAUUAUUUUCCGUGAACGAGGAAUUCCUAGUAAGUGCGAGUCAUCAGCUCGCGUUGAUUACGUCCCUGCCCUUUGUACACACCGCCCGUCGCUGCCUAGAACUGAGCCAUUUCGAGAAUAUUCGGGAUCGCUGGUUGCGUGCUCUUCGGGGCAUGCCCCUGGCAAGAGAACGAACGUAAUCGCAGUGGCUUGAACCGGGCAAAAGUCGUAACAAGGUAGC